rnacentral:tRNA from 1 species
GGGUGCGUGGCAGAGAGGCCGAUUGCGGCUGCCUGUAAAGCAGGCUCCCACGAGGACACGGUGGUUCGCUCAGCGCGCAGCGCUGGACGCGGCGCCAGCCGCGGGCCGCAGGCCGAGCGCAGCGAGCAAUCCAUCCGCACCCACCA